UAGGGAAUCUUCCACAAUGGGCGCAAGCCUGAUGGAGCAACACCGCGUGAGUGAAGAAGGGUUUCGGCUCGUAAAGCUCUGUUGUUAAAGAAGAACACGUAUGAGAGUAACUGUUCAUACGUUGACGGUAUUUAACCAGAAAGUCACGGCUAACUACGUCGCG
rnacentral:rRNA from 1 species